rnacentral:lncRNA from 1 species
UUUAAAAUACUGUGCAGCUCAGUAGAAUUUUUAUUUUGUAAUUAGGUUGUUACUUUACUGCCUGGCUGCUUUCUUUCUAUGGACUAAACUUUAACAUGGAUUAAACAGCCAUUACUAACCUCUGCUGUGUAUAUUGCAAUGUCAGAAGGUUGGAAAUCCCUACACUUGGGUGAAAGCUUACAGUGAGAAUUCAACCCCCCCCCCAAAAAAAAUACUCUGUCUGCAGCGACAGAGGUCAGGGAUUGGAAAUGCUCGACGACUAAACAUGACUUCCCUUAAACUAUUUUGCUCCUAUAUAAUAUGACUGCUCUCUGCAGCCAGCUCACAGUUAUCUUUUGGGGACCCUAAACCAUCUCUUUGGUAUUCUUGACCUAUCUUGGAUUUCUCAUACCUUCUAAUGGAUUCUUCCUGUUUGAGUGAAGCACUUUCUUAAGCAGUUCCUAGAAAGGAGGAACAUAACGAGAAAUUAGACUUUGUAUGUCCCUUUGUUCAGCCUUCACUCUGCCUGAGUAGAGCUUUCUAGGUUGAAGAUAUUUUUCUUCAGUUUUCUGAAGCCAUCGUUUUCAGAGCUUCUUCUGUUGUCACUAGUGUUUUUGUGAUGGCAAAAGCCAUCACAUUCUUUUAUUGUUUUGUUUUGCCCCAUCUCCUCCUUCAUCCAAUCAAUUUUUCCCUUUCUCUUCUACUUCAUUUUUGUUUAUGGAAUCUUCUUUUCUAGGAAAAAAAAUUACAUUUGGUGUGUGAUACAUGUGUGUGUGAUGUGUACCACAACACACAUGUGGAGGUCAGAGGACAAUUGAGGUAUCAGUUUUAGACUUCCAGUCCAUGUGGUUCCCAGAGAUUGAAUUCAGGUCAUCCGGGCUUGGUAGCAGGUGGCUUUACUUCUGAGCCACCAUUGGAUCUCUUUGUACUCAGGGUUCUUGGGUGUAGGUUUCAUCCAUUAUACUAGGCACAUCCAUUACAGUGGAUCACUCCAGUCUGCUGUUCCUGCGUUCUGGGAAAGCCUUUGAAAUUACUCUGCCGAGACGUUCUUCUUCCCAUUCUCUGUUGUGUCUGUCACUCCUAUUAACUGGAUGUCACUAGACUCGCCGCUCCUUGUCUUAACUCUUCUGAUUUUCCGUCUUAGGCUUUUUCUUCCUCUGUGUAACUUUAACUUUAUUCCCAACCUCUUUCUCUGCUGUCAUAUUUUUUUUCUAAGAUGUCUCUCUUCAGUGUCUGUUUUCCCCAACAUCCUGGUAUUUCCCAGUCGUGGUUUGUUGUUGUUUUAAAUCUGGUGAGUCCAUCCUUUGCCUUUCUUCUCAUCCUUUCCUGCUUAGUUUCUGUUUGUUCUCAGUUGGUUCUUGUUCUUGUUUAGCUCUGCCUUCUAAACUAAGGUCUUCUACAGAUUGUUGGUUAUCCUUAAUUGCUUGGUGAUAGUCAAGAUGAAGAGCCCAUUCUGGAGCUAAUAGGGAGGUCAGAGGAUGAGACAGGUGAGCUUGGGUGUCACUCCAGCUCUCCGUGUGCAUUUGUUGUGUCCAUGUCAGUGUAUCUUCAACACUCAGUAUUUGAAGGGGAAAUUUGUCCGAGCUCCUGCCUGAAGAGCAGUGUCUAUCCACCAGCAUGGUGAGGGAAGACUCAAUUGUACUCCAUGUGAAAGCAACCAGUUGUGAGCCUGUUUGGUAUAUAGAGUGCGUGUCCUCAGUGUACUUUCUAGUCUCUCUGUCUCCCAUACUUAUAAAGAGGCAUUUAGAACCAUGGAGUAAGGGACAAUAUCUAGUUAUCUGACUUUUUAAAAGCUUGCCUGUACUUUUUUGGGGGGCCAUCCACUUCACUUUACUGUGAGCAUGUAUUAUAAAUCAAGCUUGUAUUCUCCUUUAUUCCUGCUGGAAAGAAACUACACCAUCUUAGACCAUUUAAAUCAGUUUGUACUGACAUUUCUGGACUCUUUCCUAUCCUUAUUUGAUUGAGUUGACAUCUUUUGGGUUUUUUUCCUCUCUAAUCUUUUUACUUGUUUUAGUUGAGUUUGGGGAAGAGUAAAAUUAAUGUGUGCUCAGUUGCAGUUUUAACAACCCAAAGUCACUUUAGAACUCUUCUUAAGAAUUUAGAGUUAGCUAUCUAAGAUGUGUUCUCCUACUAUGUGCCAGACAUAUUCUUGUCUUUUUCAUUCAGUGUUUGUAUUAGUGCUCAGUAAGACAGUGGGAGGGUGGGGGUGGGGGUUGGGAAUAGUAAUAGCAGCAGCAGCAGCAGUUUAAGCAAACGUUUAAAAUAAUUGUCCAAGAAUUUGAACUACAUUAUAGACACUAAUAUAAAAGUUAUACAAAUAGAAUAGUAAAUUCCUAUUUGAUCAAAUAUGUAAGGUCAAAAACCCAACUGUAUUAUAACCUCAUUAUUUCCUGUAAUUAUGCUGAAUAAAAUGACUAGGAACACUGAAUUGGCAGUUUCUGGAACAUUUCUCCUAGGAGAAAUACAGGGUUAGAUUCCUGCCAACCUUUGGACACAUUUUAAUCAACCAGUCAGGCUGGCUUCUGUUUAAAGACAGACACAUUAUGGGGGCUGGCGAGAUGGCUCAGCAGGUAAGAGUACUGACUGCUCUUUUGAAGGUCCUGAGUUCAAAUCCCAGCAACCACAUGGUGGCUCACAACCACCCAUAAUGAGAUCUGACACCUUCUUCUGGUGUGUCUGAAGACAGCAAUAAUGUACUUAUUUAUAAUAAUAAAUAAAUCUUUUUUAAAAAGGCACAUUAUUUUGUAUUAAUUAUUGAUACAUUAGCAUUGAACCCUUGGUCAACAGCACUAUAUAAUUUCAUGCCUAAACAAAGCUUUAUUUGAACACAUACUAUUUCUUCAUAAAGCAUACCACAGCCUUCAUAAAAACUAGAAACCACCACUGAACACUAUGUUUGAGGGCCAUUUCCAACAAUGAAAUCAUCAAUAAGAAGCACAAAACUACAAAAAAAUGAAAGCCCAAAACAUGGUAUUAAAUAAAACACGCACAAAAAAAGACUGUAUACUUGUUUAUAUUGUGAGAAGCUUUCUUUAGGAAAAAAAUGUAUGUUCAACAACUCUAACCUUUCCCUGUGUAUGUCCAUUGAUUUUGAGAACUGUGAGUGAAUAUAGAUUUGUGUACUGUAAAUAUGUUUUAGCAAGUGAAUGAGUUCAGAAGAACAAAUUCAUGACGAGAAAGAUCCUUUGCCCUCGAUUCCUCUAGCUCCAUAGGAAAAAGACAUUUAUAAUCCCUGUAGUAGAACCAUUGCAGAGUUUGUGUACAUUUAUGUUCAAGCAAAUGUAAAGGCUCCUCUAGUGAUAACCAGUAGCAAUUUAAAUAUACUACUUCAUUGGUUUUACAACUUUAUGCAGUAGGUGUGACUUCUGUUUAAAAGAAGGAGAAAUUAAGAUGAUUUCAAAUACAGUCUCUUUCCUUCCUUACCCUCAGCUAGUAGAAUAGGAAUUAAAUGUAAUUCACUCUUUAUCGAAGUCAGAGGUCAACCUUGGGUUUCAUUCUUCAAGAGCUGUCCAUCUUGGGCUUUUUGAGAAGAGUCUUACUGGAACCAAGGAGUUCACUCUUAAAGCUGGGCUAACAGACUUGCUGUUUCUGGGAUCCACUUGUCUCAGCCUCCCAGCACUGAAGUUUUACACAUAUGCCACCAUGCCCAGCUUUUUAAGCCCCUUAACAGAAGUUCAAACUCACGAGUCCAACUCCUCCGCCUAUAAUUCACUCUUAAC